ACGCUGGCGGCAGGCCUAACACAUGCAAGUCGAGCGGUAGAGAGAAGCUUGCUUCUCUUGAGAGCGGCGGACGGGUGAGUAAUGCCUAGGAAUCUGCCUGGUAGUGGGGGAUAACGUUCGGAAACGGACGCUAAUACCGCAUACGUCCUACGGGAGAAAGCAGGGGACCUUCGGGCCUUGCGCUAUCAGAUGAGCCUAGGUCGGAUUAGCUAGUUGGUGAGGUAAUGGCUCACCAAGGCGACGAUCCGUAACUGGUCUGAGAGGAUGAUCAGUCACACUGGAACUGAGACACGGUCCAGACUCCUACGGGAGGCAGCAGUGGGGAAUAUUGGACAAUGGGCGAAAGCCUGAUCCAGCCAUGCCGCGUGUGUGAAGAAGGUCUUCGGAUUGUAAAGCACUUUAAGUUGGGAGGAAGGGCAUUAACCUAAUACGUUAGUGUUUUGACGUUACCGACAGAAUAAGCACCGGCUAACUCUGUGCCAGCAGCCGCGGUAAUACAGAGGGUGCAAGCGUUAAUCGGAAUUACUGGGCGUAAAGCGCGCGUAGGUGGUUUGUCAAGUUGGAUGUGAAAUCCCCGGGCUCAACCUGGGAACUGCAUUCAAAACUGACUGACUAGAGUAUGGUAGAGGGUGGUGGAAUUUCCUGUGUAGCGGUGAAAUGCGUAGAUAUAGGAAGGAACACCAGUGGCGAAGGCGACCACCUGGACUAAUACUGACACUGAGGUGCGAAAGCGAGGGGAGCAAAC
rnacentral:rRNA from 1 species